rnacentral:rRNA from 1 species
AUGAGGCCCGCUGAUGUGCAUCAACUUUGCGCCGCGCAUCCUGGUUCUCUUUUCAGAGUCAUGUCUCUUAUUGGAAUUUGCUACGCCGUCACCUCACCCACAGUUGUCUCCAUCUACCUCUGCCCUCGGCAUUCAUCUCUCCAGCCCCCGCUGUUCUUUCCCUGCUUUUCUUCUGAAGGAGCCAGCCGGAGCACUGACUCCCUCAUCCCCGGGCGUCCAGGCGACGUCGAGGUUGAUUCUUGGCCGGCGGUGUGCGGCGUGCAGCGGAAGAGUUCUCCCGAAAGGCAGAAGUUUUUUUGCUGUGAGGCAGUUAGAGAAGUGAGGAUGACAGAUUUAUUUAGCGGGAUACAAGCUGCUAUGGUGAUUAAUCGUGUAGAAAACAGUGACCAAUCCCUGAAAGAUUGGGUUAGCGACGAGGAUGGUUCAGGUGGUUUCACUGGAUUACCAGGGACACCAUGUUUUACUUCCAGGCUUUCAUUGCUCAAAGUUGGUUCAGUUGUUGCCAAGUUCAGUGAUUUCAAGCGGCAGCUAGUUAUGGAGACUGGUUUUGGGGGGUUUCUAGAGGUGAAGGCAUGGCAGAAGAUUAAUCUGAAGUAUAGCGCUAUUUUAAUGGACCGAGUGCAUGUAGAAUCCUGCACAAUCAACCUUGAGGAACAGGGCGUGCUUGAACUGUCCGAACAGAAGCUUAAUUAUGUUUUUGGCAUCCCCUCUGGUGAAUUCGAUAUAAACGGCGAAGGCGUCGAGCCAUCAGAAGCCUGCACCGAGUACACUCGAAUGGCAGCAUCAUUCAGCGACAAAGGCACACAUAGCCUAAAAGCAGCUGAAAAUGUUUUGCUUGGAGCUAUAUCAGAAGCGUCCUCCCAAAUAUAG